UAGAUCUUCCCCUUACUAAGUGAAAGGAGUAUUUGUUUCUCCAUGGGGUGGGAACUCUUUGUACCAUACUGGUACUUUAAUAGAUGGUCUAAUUGAUAUCAACCCAAUUAAUUUACCAGGUCUACCACGUGUUCUAAAUUGGUUAGACAUUAUACCCAUUUGAAUUGCCUUCACUCCUGAGUCUCUGAGUGUCAGGUUCAAGCUGCUGACCGACGAGGUUCCUUAUGCUUGCGAACCAGUUAGAUUCUAUACACAUAUGAAUCUUCCCCAUAUUCGAAUAUCUGAAUGUCAGACUCAAGCUGAUGAUAUAUGAGGUAUGGUCCUCGCUGUAUCAAUCAAGUCCCAUUGAAAUAUUGAAACGUUGUUCAUACAUCUUUGAAUGACCUUUUAUGUGCUGACAAUAUGUUCUGAAAUGAAGAGGUAUGUUUUUCACAACCUGUGCUUUUUGGUUCUCUUUUUUCCUCUUUCUUCAUGUUAUUUAUUCUGUUUUCCUCCUCAUGUUGCUAUGUCAUGUUCUUUUGAUA